rnacentral:rRNA from 1 species
AGGAAUAUUGGUCAAUGGACGGGAGUCUGAACCAGCCAAGUAGCGUGAAGGAUGACUGCCCUAUGGGUUGUAAACUUCUUUUAUACGGGAAUAAAGUGAUCCACGUGUGGAUUUUUGUAUGUACCGUAUGAAUAAGGAUCGGCUAACUCCGUGCCAGCAGCCGCGGUAAUACGGAGGAUCCGAGCGUUAUCCGGAUUUAUUGGGUUUAAAGGGAGCGUAGGUGGAUUGUUAAGUCAGUUGUGAAAGUUUGCGGCUCAACCGUAAAAUUGCAGUUGAUACUGGCGACCUUGAGUGCAACAGAGGUAGGCGGAAUUCGUGGUGUAGCGGUGAAAUGCUUAGAUAUCACGAAGAACUCCGAUUGCGAAGGCAGCUCACUGGACUGCAACUGACACUGAUGCUCGAAAGUGUGGGUAUCAAACAGGAUUAGAUACCCUGGUAGUCCACACAGUAAACGAUGAAUACUCGCUGUUUGCGAUAUACGGUAAGCGGCCAAGCGAAAGCGUUAAGUAUUCCACCUGGGGAGUACGCCGGCAACGGUGAAACUCAAAGGAAUUGACGGGGGCCCGCACAAGCGGAGGAACAUGUGGUUUAAUUCGAUGAUACGCGAGGAACCUUACCCGGGCUUAAAUUACAUUUGAAUAAUCUGGAAACAGUUUAGCCGUAAGGCAAAUGUGAAGGUGCUGCAUGGUUGUCGUCAGCUCGUGCCGUGAGGUGUCGGCUUAAGUGCCAUAACGAGCGCAACCCUUAUCUUCAGUUACUAACAGGUCAUGCUGAGGACUCUGGAGAGACUGCCGUCGUAAGAUGUGAGGAAGGUGGGGAUGACGUCAAAUCAGCACGGCCCUUACGUCCGGGGCUACACACGUGUUACAAUGGGGGGUACAGAGGGCUGCUACCACGCAAGUGGAUGCCAAUCCCAAAAACCUCUCUCAGUUCGGAUUGAAGUCUGCAACCCGACUUCAUGAAGCUGGAUUCGCUAGUAAUCGCGCAUCAGCCACGGCGCGGUGAAUACGUUCCCG